ACAAUGACUCUCGGCAACGGAUAUCUCGGCUCUCGCAUCGAUGAAGAACGCAGCGAAAUGCGAUACCUGGUGUGAAUUGCAGAAUCCCGUGAAUCAUCGAGUCUUUGAACGCAAGUUGCGCCCGAGGCCUUUUGGCCGAGGGCACGCCUGCCUGGGCGUCACG
rnacentral:rRNA from 1 species